CCAUGUUAAUGAUCGCAGUAAUCGAACUCUAAUUAGUACAUAAUCCGGGAUGAUCAAGGUGAGUUUGUUUUUUUUAAAAUAGACUUGGCCACAUUGAAUUAAACCCAUCUUAUUAUCGAAUAGAUUCACUUCGCGAGCGAGCGAGCGACACAGAGAGAUUGUUCAGCAGAGCAGAGGAAGUGAUGGGGCUGGUCUAAAACUGCCAUUGUAAACAGGGAUGUUUAUUUUGAAAUGAUAACAAUUGAUGACUGAAGUCCUGAUGGAACUCAAGAUGUUGUCAAAAGGUUGCAGAAGGUGUAUGGAGAAGAUCGUAUUGUAAGUAGCAUUGGAACUAUAUUCGAUGAUCAAUUAUUUUACUCAUUAUUGGCUUGUAACACCCUUAAUUUGUCCUUUAUAAAUGCAGCUGUUGAGAGCUAGACCGAAGAAACUUGAAUGAUGUAAUGUAUAUAAGCUCUUUUUUUGCAAUGAAAAUGAUGAGCUGGUACUUGAUGCAGUUUUAAUUUCAGGGACUCCUUAUGUUCACGGUUUGAAGCAUGUCUCGGGCAAUUUUGUUGUGAUCAUGGAUGCGGACUUAUCGCACCAUGUAAGUAUGUGUUUUGAUUGCUAAUGGAAACUAUGGGUUUUCUUUUGGUGGGUUGUGUCUGUUUGAGAGAGACGUGGGAAAACAAGUUCAUGUUGAUGGAUACGUUGCGGACUAAUGCAUUGUCAGGAUACUAAAGAUGUGAUCGUAAGCAUUCCUUCAGUUCUACUAGUUCAUUUAUGUCUAAAUUCUCUGCGACGCCAACCAUUCUGCCACUGGACUCCUUUUUUCGAAGGAUUUCAAUUAAUUAAUAGCUGACUUGGACCAUGCAAUGUUGUACUAUCUUGACGAGUAUGCUUUGAGUACUGAAGGUGCAACUGUAUUCAAGUCCAGAUAAAGGGACAUGUCAAUGAUGUAACAAAAUAUUUUGAAACAGAUGGAGACUGGUGGAAGUAUAGUUACUGGAACUAGGCUCUAUAAGAAAUCGGUGCUUGAAGAUGUCAUAAGCACUUGCGGCAUUAGUAAGGGAUACAAUUUUCAGAUGGAGAUUAUUUUUGGAAGCUUCAAGAAAAGGGUACCAUAAUGAAGAGGUUAGAAAUUACCUUUGUUGAUAGGGUAUAUGGAAGUUCAAAACCUGGAGGUUCAAAAAUAGUUGGAUAUCGUUGUGAACGUAUGAUGCAAUAUACGUUGUUUGUUUACCUUUGCAAAGUUGUCAAUCGUAAGGGUCUGGCAUAUCUUUUGGUUACGACUUGAAGUGGAGAGAGAUUGUUUGCUAUUUUUCUUUUCUUUUUUUGGCUUGCAGUAGAGUCAUUGUUUUUGCAAGUCAGGAAUUCUGAUUGAAACAACUGAUGCAAGCAAUUUGAUCAACCCUAAGUAUCGUCUCUCUUAUUCCCUGAUUGUAUCACUUCCACUCUGUCAACAAAUUUUACAAAUAUC